rnacentral:rRNA from 1 species
AGCGUACACGGUGGAUGCCCUGGCAGUCAGAGGCGAUGAAGGACGUGCUAAUCUGCGAAAAGCGUCGGUAAGGUGAUAUGAACCGUUAUAACCGGCGAUGUCCGAAUGGGGAAACCCAGUGUGAUUCGUCACACUAUCGUUAACUGAAUACAUAGGUUAACGAGGCGAACCGGGGGAACUGAAACAUCUAAGUACCCCGAGGAAAAGAAAUCAACCGAGAUUCCCCCAGUAGCGGCGAGCGAACGGGGAGCAGCCCAGAGUCUGAAUCAGCUUGUGUGUUAGUGGAACGGUCUGGAAAGUCCGACGGUACAGGGUGAUAGUCCCGUACACCAAAAUGCACAGGUUGUGAACUCGAAGAGUAGGGCGGGACACGUGGUAUCCUGUCUGAAUAUGGGGGGACCAUCCUCCAAGGCUAAAUACUCCUGACUGACCGAUAGUGAACCAGUACCGUGAGGGAAAGGCGAAAAGAACCCCGGCGAGGGGAGUGAAAAAGAACCUGAAACCGUGUACGUACAAGCAGUGGGAGCACCUUCGGGUGUGACUGCGUACCUUUUGUAUAAUGGGUCAGCGACUUAUAUUCUGUAGCAAGGUUAACCGUAUAGGGGAGCCGCAGGGAAACCGAGUCUUAACUGGGCGUUAAGUUGCAGGGUAUAGACCCGAAACCCGGUGAUCUAGCCAUGGGCAGGUUGAAGGUUGGGUAACACUAACUGGAGGACCGAACCGACUAAUGUUGAAAAAUUAGCGGAUGACUUGUGGCUGGGGGUGAAAGGCCAAUCAAACCGGGAGAUAGCUGGUUCUCCCCGAAAGCUAUUUAGGUAGCGCCUCGUGAAUUCAUCUUCGGGGGUAGAGCACUGUUUCGGCUAGGGGGUCAUCCCGACUUACCAACCCGAUGCAAACUACGAAUACCGAAGAAUGUUAUCACGGGAGACACACGGCGGGUGCUAACGUCCGUCGUGAAGAGGGAAACAACCCAGACCGCCAGCUAAGGUCCCAAAGUCAUGGUUAAGUGGGAAACGAUGUGGGAAGGCACAGACAGCCAGGAUGUUGGCUUAGAAGCAGCCAUCAUUUAAAGAAAGCGUAAUAGCUCACUGGUCGAGUCGGCCUGCGCGGAAGAUGUAACGGGGCUAAACCAUGCACCGAAGCUGCGGCAGCGACACUAUGUGUUGUUGGGUAGGGGAGCGUUCUGUAAGCCUGCGAAGGUGGCCUGUGAGGGUUGCUGGAGGUAUCAGAAGUGCGAAUGCUGACAUAAGUAACGAUAAAGCGGGUGAAAAGCCCGCUCGCCGGAAGACCAAGGGUUCCUGUCCAACGUUAAUCGGGGCAGGGUGAGUCGACCCCUAAGGCGAGGCCGAAAGGCGUAGUCGAUGGGAAACAGGUUAAUAUUCCUGUACUUGGUGUUACUGCGAAGGGGGGACGGAGAAGGCUAUGUUAGCCGGGCGACGGUUGUCCCGGUUUAAGCAUGUAGGCGGAGGUUCCAGGUAAAUCCGGUACCUUUUAACGCUGAGGUGUGAUGACGAGGCACUACGGUGCUGAAGUAACAAAUGCCCUGCUUCCAGGAAAAGCCUCUAAGCAUCAGGUAACAUUAAAUCGUACCCCAAACCGACACAGGUGGUCAGGUAGAGAAUACCAAGGCGCUUGAGAGAACUCGGGUGAAGGAACUAGGCAAAAUGGUGCCGUAACUUCGGGAGAAGGCACGCUGGUGUGUAGGUGAAGUCCCUGCGGACGGAGCUGAGACCAGUCGAAGAUACCAGCUGGCUGCAACUGUUUAUUAAAAACACAGCACUGUGCAAACACGAAAGUGGACGUAUACGGUGUGACGCCUGCCCGGUGCCGGAAGGUUAAUUGAUGGGGUUAUCCGUAAGGAGAAGCUCUUGAUCGAAGCCCCGGUAAACGGCGGCCGUAACUAUAACGGUCCUAAGGUAGCGAAAUUCCUUGUCGGGUAAGUUCCGACCUGCACGAAUGGCGUAAUGAUGGCCAGGCUGUCUCCACCCGAGACUCAGUGAAAUUGAACUCGCUGUGAAGAUGCAGUGUACCCGCGGCAAGACGGAAAGACCCCGUGAACCUUUACUAUAGCUUGACACUGAACAUUGAGCCUUGAUGUGUAGGAUAGGUGGGAGGCUUUGAAGCGUGGACGCCAGUCUGCGUGGAGCCAACCUUGAAAUACCACCCUUUAAUGUUUGAUGUUCUAACGUUGGCCCCUUAUCGGGGUUGCGGACAGUGUCUGGUGGGUAGUUUGACUGGGGCGGUCUCCUCCCAAAGAGUAACGGAGGAGCACGAAGGUUAGCUAAUCCUGGUCGGACAUCAGGAGGUUAGUGCAAUGGCAUAAGCUAGCUUGACUGCGAGCGUGACGGCGCGAGCAGGUGCGAAAGCAGGUCAUAGUGAUCCGGUGGUUCUGAAUGGAAGGGCCAUCGCUCAACGGAUAAAAGGUACUCCGGGGAUAACAGGCUGAUACCGCCCAAGAGUUCAUAUCGACGGCGGUGUUUGGCACCUCGAUGUCGGCUCAUCACAUCCUGGGGCUGAAGUAGGUCCCAAGGGUAUGGCUGUUCGCCAUUUAAAGUGGUACGCGAGCUGGGUUUAGAACGUCGUGAGACAGUUCGGUCCCUAUCUGCCGUGGGCGCUGGAGAAUUGAGGGGGGCUGCUCCUAGUACGAGAGGACCGGAGUGGACGCAUCACUGGUGUUCGGGUUGUCAUGCCAAUGGCACUGCCCGGUAGCUAAAUGCGGAAGAGAUAAGUGCUGAAAGCAUCUAAGCACGAAACUUGCCCCGAGAUGAGUUCU